rnacentral:rRNA from 1 species
UACGUAGGGAGCGAGCGUUGUCCGGAUUUACUGGGUGUAAAGGGUGCGUAGGCGGCUCUGCAAGUCAGAAGUGAAAUCUAUGGGCUUAGCCCAUAAACUGCUUUUGAAACUGUGGAGCUUGAGUGAAGUAGAGGUAGGCGGAAUUCCCGGUGUAGCGGUGAAAUGCGUAGAGAUCGGGAGGAACACCAGUGGCGAAGGCGGCCUACUGGGCUUUAACUGACGCUGAGGCACGAAAGCGUGGGUAGCAAACAGG